AGGAGAACAAAGUACUCCAUAUCCAUCUAAAUGACAGCAAAGGAAAAAGUAACAGCCUGCCUGAAAGGUGUAAAUAUCUGAGAGGAAGAGGAAUAACUUACCAGGGACAAAACUGUUUCCAAUGAUUCCCAGUAUUAGAGAGUGUCCACAGGCUUGCCAGUCUCAUCCAGUAAGGAAUAUUUCAACUUAAGGAGGAGAAGGAGAACUUUUUCUUUAAAAGGACAUUUACUGGAACAUGCAUGCCACAGGAAGAUACUAAUUAAUUUUGCACUGCCUUUCAAGCGUGAAGAUUUCAUUGCAGAAACAUCAACAAGUCAAUAACCAAGCACAGAGAAUCUACUGUGCUAGGUUCUGGGGAUGGAUACCGUGAUGAAAACUGUUUUUCAGAAGAAAAAAACCAAAGUGUAAAGAAAAAGAGAUGAACUACCAUCUGCCAUUAGGUAUCCACCGACAGUGAAGAUGUUCCAAAAUACAUUUCUCUUACACAAGAAAGAAGAGCA